UCAAGACAAGUACCCUCACAUGGUUUUUUUCUCCUCUCUCAUUCUUUUCACUUCCACCGGCUUCAUCUUUUAUGUUCCUUUUCUUGUAGCUAAUCAUGUGUUCUGAAUAUCGACGAUUUUUAUUUUAUGGUCUUGGUUAACAAUAGUUGAUUUAUUUUUGGGGAAUUAGGGUUUACUGGUUUAGGGUGUUCACAGGGUUAGAGGUUGGUGUUAAUGUUGUUAUGUGUAAGCCUUGUAAAGCCUUUUAUCGUAAUUCUUAUUAUGGGAUUAAUAUCGGCAGUCAAAACAAUUAGUGUUCAGACUUCUACCCCUUGUUUCGAUUGGAUUGAAGGAAAUGAAGGGAAGAGAAAAGAAAAGAAAUUUGA
rnacentral:misc_RNA from 1 species